AAUUCAAUUAGUGUGGAAAACCAAAACUUAAAUGAAAAAAGGCCAUCUCUGUAAGAAGUAGUCAGUCAGCAGAGACCUAUAAUACCUGAACUAGUGCUCUUCUGCAUUGUGCAUAUGGCAAGGGUGACUGGAUGGUUAAAAAAUUCCAUAGUAGUUUGAUUUAAAUGAGGCCAUGGAAAAACAUACUCCAGCCUUGGUCUAAGUGGGACAUCAGGCUGCUUCAUAAUGCUGAAAGGAGGAAAUCAAUUCCUUGGUAAAUAACUUGUGUUGUCUUUUCCUGUAGGAGUCUUUCGGAGCCUGCAAAAGUUUGGACUGACCACUGGCCAUUACUCUAGAACUGCUUUAUUUCAAGGCAUGAUCACGCAGAAACACCAGAAGCUGUGGAUGGUGGGAGUGACACCCAGGUUACUGAAGACUGAGCUGAGCCAAGAACCACCCUGUCAACACUCCUUCUUUGUGCCAAAAAAGUUGGCUAGAGAAAAUCCUCACAGACCAGGGAAGUUCAGUAAGUCUUUGACAACAUCCAGACCUGUGUAUUAAUGCAGCAGUGGAGCCCUGGUUGUUGUAAAUGAACACAAUGAAAUGUACUUGAGGAAGGAAGCAGUGGCUAGGAGUCACACGCUGCAGUUGCCAUUUGUUCAGGUGAGAUUCUUCCAGUGUACUUUUGGUUGUGAGUUCCCUUCCCUCUGGCCAGGAUGACAAUGACAUAAUUUGAAAUGUCCCAUUUCUUCCUGUAACUGC
rnacentral:lncRNA from 1 species